rnacentral:rRNA from 1 species
AUGGGCUCAUCCCGGACGGGGCUCAUUCUUGACGAGGCUCAACCCGGACAGCUCAACCCGAACAGGCAGAACUCGGCCAGGGAGAACCCGGACAGGGAGGACCAGGACAGGGUCAACCUGGAUGGGCUCAACCCGGCCAGCUCAACCCGGCCAGGGUCAACCCGACGGAGGUUAACCCGGCUAGGGACAACCCGGACAGGUCAACCCAGCCAAGGUCAACCCAGACAGAUCAACCCGACCAAGGUCAACCUGGCCAGGGUCAAUCUGGAUAGGUCGACCCGGUCAAGGUCAACCUGGUCAAGGUCAACCCGGACAGGUCAACCUGUCCAAGGUCAACCCGGCCAGCGUCAACCUGGACAGGUCAACCCGGCCAAAGUCAACCCAGCCAUAUUCAAGCCAUCCAAGUUCCAGCCAGCCAGGGGGCACUCCCCUGGCAAUGUUUUGAAGCGUCGUUUCACCGUCUUGGGCAUAUCCGGGGGUCAUCCCCCCGAUAGUAGCCUCCAAGCCUCCGGGCAACUUGGAAAAUUUCACGGAGGGUUUUAG